rnacentral:misc_RNA from 1 species
GUAGGUGAACCUGCGGAAGGAUCAUUACAGAGUUCAUGCCCGAAAGGGUAGACCUCCCACCCUUGUGUAUUAUUACCUUGUUGCUUUGGCGAGAUAUCGUUAGGCCUUUAAAUCCUGACGCUCGCCAGAGAAUAACCAAACCCUUUUUAUUAAUAUCGUCUGAGUAAUUUAUAAUAGUUAAAACUUUCAACAACGGAUCUCUUGGUUCUGGCAUCGAUGAAGAACGCAGCAUCUGACUGACUCGGGCAUA